GACGAACGCUGGCGGCGUGCUUAACACAUGCAAGUCGAACGGAAAGGCCCUGCUUUUGUGGGGUGCUCGAGUGGCGAACGGGUGAGUAACACGUGAGUAACCUGCCCUUGACUUUGGGAUAACUUCAGGAAACUGGGGCUAAUACCGGAUAGGAGCUCCUGCUGCAUGGUGGGGGUUGGAAAGUUUCUGCGGUUGGGGCUGGACUCGCGGCUUAUCAGCUUGUUGGUGGGGGAGUGGCUUACCAAGGCUUUGACGGGUAGCCGGCCUGAGAGGGUGACCGGCCACAUUGGGACUGCGGUACGCCCCAGAGUCCUACGGGAGGCAGCAGUGGGGAAUAUUGCACAAUGGGCGGGAGCCUGAUGCAGCAACGCCGCGUGCGGGAUGACGGCCUUCGGGGUGUAAACAGCUUUCGCCUGUGACGAAGCGUGAGUGACGGUAAUGGGUAAAGAAGCACCGGCUAACUACGUG
rnacentral:rRNA from 1 species